rnacentral:rRNA from 1 species
UACGAAGGGGGCGAGCGUUGUUCGGAUUUACUGGGCGUAAAGGGCGCGUAGGCGGCCCGCUAAGUCGAACGUGAAAUCCCCGAGCUCAACUCGGGAACUGCGUCCGAUACUGGCGGGCUUGAAUCCGGGAGAGGGAUGCGGAAUUCCAGGGUGUAGCGGUGAAAUGCGUAGAGUAUCUGGAGGAACACCGGUGGCGAAGGCGGCAUCCUGGACCGGCAUUGACGCUGAGGCGCGAAAGCUAGGGGAGCAAACGGGG